rnacentral:rRNA from 1 species
GACGAACGCUGGCGGCGUGCCUAAUACAUGCAAGUCGAACGCAUUUUCUUUCACCGUAGCUUGCUACACCGAAAGAAAAUGAGUGGCGAACGGGUGAGUAACACGUGGGUAACCUGCCCAUCAGCGGGGGAUAACACUUGGAAACAGGUGCUAAUACCGCAUAAUUCCAUUUACCGCAUGGUAGAUGGGUGAAAGGCGCUUUUGCGUCACUGAUGGAUGGACCCGCGGUGCAUUAGCUAGUUGGUGGGGUAGCGGCCUACCAAGGCUGCGAUGCAUAGCCGACCUGAGAGGGUGAUCGGCCACACUGGGACUGAGACACGGCCCAGACUCCUACGGGAGGCAGCAGUAGGGAAUCUUCGGCAAUGGACGCAAGUCUGACCGAGCAACGCCGCGUGAGUGAAGAAGGUUUUCGGAUCGUAAAACUCUGUUGUUAGAGAAGAACAAGGAUGAGAGUGGAAAGUUCAUCCCUUGACGGUAUCUAACCAGAAAGCCACGGCUAACUACGUG